rnacentral:lncRNA from 1 species
AUGUUAGGUCCAGAAUUAUGUGUUGGGCUUGGGCUAGGCCAUGUGGGCUAAUGGGGUAGAGGCUCCUAUAAAUAGUCUUGUCUAGUUUAUUUGUAGUAGAGCUCUCCAUUGUAACGAUGUAGCCCCAAAUAGAGAGCCUUGUACCCGAUAAUCCUACGGAUUGUGUGCAAGGUUCUCGAAGAUCGUACCAGACGGUUCUUUGAGACCGUGUGCGAUCUAAUCAGCGACACUACGUUAUUCAAUGAAAAAUCUCUUUUUGUUCUUGUCAGCUUGAUCUUACUUUCCGCAUUCGAUCGAACCGUAGAGUGAUAUCACGGGUUUUUCGGGACUAACAAGUGGUAUCAGAGCCAUUGAAGUCUUUCAAAGGCUCGGUUUUGGUAUCACUCGAAGAACAAGAAGAAGCUUUGCACAAGUGUUGGGGAUGUGUGUUCGUAAAUGGAAAGAUCUCCGGUUCGUAAGAUCUAGAUUUCACUACAGAUCUAAAAAAAAAAUAUAAGGUCUGGUGUAGUCGUCAGAAGAUGACUGGAGACGGAGAAAGAGUGGAGUUGCAGGUUUUCGGCUCGGAGUUCGAAGAAGAUGAUCGGAGUUUAAUGAUGGUUCGAUGAUCGGAGAUGAGAAGUUCGGAGAUGCUGGACCGGAGACGAAGAACGAUGUGAGUCUCGAAUGAAGAUGCUGUAUCUCCGAUGAUGUCGGAUGAAACUUGAAUGAAGAUGUGUUACGAGAUGGUGAGUUUCAGAUGAAGAUUGUGGCAGGAGAAAAAAAAUGAUGAAGAUAUGUUGCAGGUUUUACGGUGUAGUGGUGUGACGGAGAAGGUGAUGGUGGCCGGAGACUUGCAGGUCGACGGUGGUUAUGGAGGUCCGAAGAAGGUGGUGGUGAAGAUGUAGUGAACGGAAAAAGAUGAACGGCGGUGGUUAGAAGCUGAAUCACGGUGGAGAUGUUAACGGAGAUGAAGAAGAUGACUGAGGUGAAUAAAGGUUGGCUCGGAAUGACUCGAAAUGUUUAUGUUGAUGAUGGAACAGAGAUAGUUGAAGAUGAUGAUCUCUGAUGAUUCACGGUGGUCGUCUUCUAAGAUUAACAAACCUGAUGGUAGAUGUCGAUGGAGCUGAAGUCUAUUAUCGGCUGAUGAUGGUCUGAUGAAGUUGAAAACUGAUCUCAGAUGAAUUCUUUGAUGUUGAUGAGCUAAUGAUGAUGAUGGAGUGACAUCGGUAGGUCUAGAAUGUUGAGGAAUAUUCUUAACGGCUGCACAUGUCGUCAAAUCAAGGAAUUAAAAACCCUAACAAUUGUCAACCAUUAGAUGAGGAGAGUGGUCUACGGUCAGACUAGAAGGUAUGGGGGCCGGCUUGGCCCGGCUUGGCCCGGCGCCGGACCCCCACACCGCCCCCCUCUUCCGGCUUCCGUCACAAACGGCGAUCCACAGCCGGGUCCGCCGUGCCUCCUUCUUCCUUUUCCUCUCACAUAUACCUAUACAUAUAUACAUAUAUAUACAUAAAGGGGUUCAUCCCCCACCCCCCUAGGUCCAUCCCCUCCAAGCCACUCCUACGUGGCGCCUAUGUGGCGGCUCAUCCCCUCCAAGCCCAUCCAAACCAUACCUUCUAGUCUCAGAUGAUAAAGGAAUUAUUAUUUUUGUGCCACAUUAUGUGGGGACCAACACUGCUGUGCAGCCGAGAAUUUCAAAUGGAGUAAGUAAUUUGUCGAUGGGAGCCCGACUGCAUUAUUUUAUUAUUUUAUGGUCCAUGAAUAUUAUAAUAUCAUUCGUCAAUUGCAUCAGGGAUGCUUGUUGGAACCCACUUAAUUGGGCAUGUGCACAUGGAUGAUGUGUGUAUGUAAAUGGAGUGUUUAUUUUGUUUAUUCUUGGCCCACUAGAUGAUUGGAAUGCAAUGGCUGACCCAUUUAAAAGGUAUGGAUUUGUUAUAAUGGGUGACAGCUCGGGUUUGUUGGUGGCUCUAUUAUUUUGUGACAGAUAGGGUGGCCAACAUGAUUUAUUUCUUGGGCCACGCAUAAGCUGUUGGAUUGGAGUUGACUAGAUCUAUCGUUUAGACCAACUUCAUAUGGAUUUUUUUUGUGGAUCUCCUUUAGUCCGGGUCAUAAGCUGUUGGACCGGAAGGUUUAUAGAGGAUGGGCUCGUUCACUGGUGGGCCACUAAAAAAGGGAAGACCUAAGAUUGGAGAUCAUCUAAACCGCAAUAAAGAGAGCAUAAAACUAGAG